AAAUUGAAGAGUUUGAUCAUGGCUCAGAUUGAACGCUGGCGGCAGGCCUAACACAUGCAAGUCGAGCGGUAGCACAGAGAGCUUGCUCUCGGGUGACGAGCGGCGGACGGGUGAGUAAUGUCUGGGAAACUGCCUGAUGGAGGGGGAUAACUACUGGAAACGGUAGCUAAUACCGCAUAACGUCGCAAGACCAAAGUGGGGGACCUUCGGGCCUCAUGCCAUCAGAUGUGCCCAGAUGGGAUUAGCUAGUAGGUGGGGUAACGGCUCACCUAGGCGACGAUCCCUAGCUGGUCUGAGAGGAUGACCAGCCACACUGGAACUGAGACACGGUCCAGACUCCUACGGGAGGCAGCAGUGGGGAAUAUUGCACAAUGGGCGCAAGCCUGAUGCAGCCAUGCCGCGUGUGUGAAGAAGGCCUUCGGGUUGUAAAGCACUUUCAGCGGGGAGGAAGGCGGUGAGGUUAAUAACCUCAUCGAUUGACGUUACCCGCAGAAGAAGCACCGGCUAACUCCGUGCCAGCAGCCGCGGUAAUACGGAGGGUGCAAGCGUUAAUCGGAAUUACUGGGCGUAAAGCGCACGCAGGCGGUCUGUCAAGUCGGAUGUGAAAUCCCCGGGCUCAACCUGGGAACUGCAUUCGAAACUGGCAGGCUAGAGUCUUGUAGAGGGGGGUAGAAUUCCAGGUGUAGCGGUGAAAUGCGUAGAGAUCUGGAGGAAUACCGGUGGCGAAGGCGGCCCCCUGGACAAAGACUGACGCUCAGGUGCGAAAGCGUGGGGAGCAAACAGGAUUAGAUACCCUGGUAGUCCACGCCGUAAACGAUGUCGAUUUGGAGGUUGUGCCCUUGAGGCGUGGCUUCCGGAGCUAACGCGUUAAAUCGACCGCCUGGGGAGUACGGCCGCAAGGUUAAAACUCAAAUGAAUUGACGGGGGCCCGCACAAGCGGUGGAGCAUGUGGUUUAAUUCGAUGCAACGCGAAGAACCUUACCUGGUCUUGACAUCCACAGAACUUAGCAGAGAUGCUUUGGUGCCUUCGGGAACUGUGAGACAGGUGCUGCAUGGCUGUCGUCAGCUCGUGUUGUGAAAUGUUGGGUUAAGUCCCGCAACGAGCGCAACCCUUAUCCUUUGUUGCCAGCGGUUCGGCCGGGAACUCAAAGGAGACUGCCAGUGAUAAACUGGAGGAAGGUGGGGAUGACGUCAAGUCAUCAUGGCCCUUACGACCAGGGCUACACACGUGCUACAAUGGCAUAUACAAAGAGAAGCGACCUCGCGAGAGCAAGCGGACCUCAUAAAGUAUGUCGUAGUCCGGAUUGGAGUCUGCAACUCGACUCCAUGAAGUCGGAAUCGCUAGUAAUCGUAGAUCAGAAUGCUACGGUGAAUACGUUCCCGGGCCUUGUACACACCGCCCGUCACACCAUGGGAGUGGGUUGCAAAAGAAGUAGGUAGCUUAACCUUCGGGAGGGCGCUUACCACUUUGUGAUUCAUGACUGGGGUGAAGUCGUAACAAGGUAACCGUAGGGGAACCUGCGGUUGGAUCACCUCCUUACCUUAAAGAA
rnacentral:rRNA from 1 species